rnacentral:rRNA from 1 species
AGAAUCAACGCUGGCGGCGUGCCUAACACAUGCAAGUCGAACGAGAAAGUGGAGCAAUCCAUGAGUAAAGUGGCGCACGGGUGAGUAACACGUGACUAACCUACCCUUGAGUGGGGGAUAACCUCGGGAAACCGGGGCUAAUACCGCAUAACAUCGAGAGAUCAAAGGAGCAAUUCGCUUAAGGAGGGGGUCGCGGCUGAUUAGCUAGUUGGUGAGGUAAUGGCUCACCAAGGCUAUGAUCAGUAUCCGGCCUGAGAGGGCGCACGGACAUACUGGAACUGAAACACGGUCCAGACUCCUACGGGAGGCAGCAGUGGGGAAUUUUGCGCAAUGGGGGAAACCCUGACGCAGCAACGCCGCGUGGAGGAUGAAGUCCCUUGGGACGUAAACUCCUUUCGAUCGGGACGAUAAUGACGGUACCGGAAGAAGAAGCCCGGCUAACUUCGUGCCAGCAGCCGC